CAACGGCUUGCAGCUCGGCAUGGAUAUUAAGCCUAUACAUCUGCCCCCCAUUUCCAGAGCAGUCCAGCUGAAGUCAGCAAAGAAGCUUCAGCAUGCAAAGGAAGU